rnacentral:lncRNA from 1 species
GUUUACUUCAAUAGUAUAGAAUUUAAAGUCUGAUUUUGAGUUUAACAGGUUUUGGUAAAAAUUGGGGAUUUUGGGUUUUAUGUUGAAAUUGUAGUUUUUGGAGUUGUAAGCAUGAAUUUGAUGUUAGAAAUAGGUUCUAAGUGCAUACAGAAAGUUAAUUUGCAUCUGUAAACUGAUUUGGGGAGUGAUUGGGAGAAAAAUGGGAUUUUUGGGUAAAACCAGUUUUCUGCCCGUACAGAAGUUCAUCGCUCGCCUCGCGAGUAGCUGUGCUCGCCAUGGCGAGUGAGCAACUUCAUAGCUCGCCUCGCGAGCAGUCCAACUCGCCAUGGCGAGUAAGCCCAG